CACCAGCGCCACGAGUGGCGACCGCGAUUAUUGGGCCUAAAGCGUCCGUAGUCGGACAAGUACAUCUUCUGUGAAAUCGUUGCGCUUAACGUAACGGCAUGCGGAAGACACGACUUGUCUUGAGACCGGGAGGCGUGUGAGGUAUUCCGGGGGGGACCGGUAAAAUGGUAUAAUCCCCGGAGGACCACCUGUGGCGAAGGCGUCACACGGAGAACGGAUCUGACGAUGAGGACGAAAGCCAGGGGAGCAAACCCGGAGUUAGAAAACCCUGAGAUAACG
rnacentral:rRNA from 1 species